UGCUAAGACAGCUGCCUAAUUGUAUAUUGUGCGUCGGAUAGUUUUUCCUCUUUUUCUAUAAAUUGCAGACAUGUUAUGUUCAGAGUUUUACAAAUUUAAAUGGGCACACUCACUACAGAUCUGGAUGUACAGACUAUCAGACCUGUCGUCUGAACGAGCAUGGGGGCAAUUCUAAGGGGACAUGUCUACAAUGUUAUGAUGGUGAUUUCUGUAACUCACAUGGAUGUGGAGAUAAUGGUUUCCAGCCAAAGCAAUCACGAGGCUCUCUUUGUCUUGACUGUUCGCACGUGAGUGACCCAAAAGAGUGUGACAAAAUAACUAUCUGCUCCUCAAAUGAGGUAUGCCGCAUCGAAGAGUUUCCAUGGGGAGACAAUGCAAUAUUUCACAUUGGAUGCGCAUCAGUCAAUGAUUGUGCUAUAGAACACCGAAGCUUGAACCCUUUCAACCAGAGGUCAGUUCCAGUCUGCACAGAAUGCUGUCGGGAGGAUUAUUGCAAUUAUUAUACAAACUGUACAGGAAGGACCCAUAAUCAGCAACCGAUUAUUGUUGGAUAAAUUUAUCUGUAUAUGACAAUGUUUUCGAAUCUUUUUUCGAGUAUAAUUGAUUGAAAUGAAUCAAAGAAAACUAUUUAUUUGAUAAAAUAUUUUAGAAUUGUUACCCCCAAACCAUUAAC